CAGGGCCGGGGAGCGGCGGGCAGGGCAGGGCCGGGCCGGGCCGGGCAGGGCAGGGUCAGGCAGGGACGGAGGGAGCCGGGAGGGAAGCCGUGAUGCCUCCCGUGAGUUUUGCAGCUGAUCUAUACACGCAGAGUAAUUCCAACACACUUGAGGGAGACAUCACUGGGCUUUUUAAGUGCAGAUCACCUGCUUAGGAUUUGGGAAAUGAGGCCAAGAUUUCCAGAGCACAUCAGACUGAGAACAUGCAGUAUGGAGCACACAAAUGCUUGGUUCUGACUUGGAAAAUACCAGAUGGAAAACUGACAGCUGUGAAGUGGAUCAAGCAAGGCAAUUUAAAAUUCCAGUGGCCCUGAGGAGAUCCUUGGUUCUUCAUACCAGAGAAAUAUCAAGUAAUCAGUUGUGCUGGUUUUAUUUCAGAAGUUGUCUUUAUUCUGAGUAUAUUACCAAAAGUUAAUCCGUGAGCUCCUCUGAUUUAUCUCCUGAAUAACCUGCAGCACCCAGGCUAAUUCCUAAGACAUACCUGUGACCAAGAUCUUACUUUCCUCAAACUGAGAUAGACAUUUUCUGUCCAGUGGAAUAAACACAGAAGGUCUGGUGGUUUAUUCA